rnacentral:rRNA from 1 species
GUGCCAGCAGCCGCGGUAAUACCGGCAGCCCGAGUGAUGGCCGAUCUUAUUGGGCCUAAAGCGUCCGUAGCUGGGUCUGAAAGUCCGUCGGGAAAUCCACUCGCUCAACGAGUGGGCGUCUGACGGAAACUGCACAGCUUGGGACCGGAAGGCUCGAAGGGUACGUUCGGGGUAGGAGUGAAAUCCCAUAAUCCCGCACGGACCACCGAUGGCGAAAGCACUUCGAGAAAACGGAUCCGACAGUGAGGGACGAAAGCCAGGGUCUCCAACCGGAUUAGAUACCCUAGUAGUCC